rnacentral:rRNA from 1 species
AUUGAACGCUGGCGGCAGGCCUAACACAUGCAAGUCGAGCGAGCGGCGGACGGGUGAGUAAUGUCUGGGGAACUGCCUGAUGGAGGGGGAUAACUACUGGAAACGGUAGCUAAUACCGCAUACCAUCAGAUGAACCCAGAUGGGAUUAGCUAGUAGGUGAGGUAAUGGCUCACCUAGGCGACGAUCCCUAGCUGGUCUGAGAGGAUGAUGAGCCACACUGGGACUGUGACACGGCCCAGACUCCUACGGGAGGCAGCAGUGGGGAAUAUUGCACAAGGGGCGCAAGCCUGAUGCAGCCAUGCCGCGUGUAUGAAGAAGGCCUUCGGGUUGUAAAGUACGUUCAGUCUGGAGGCGUUACCGACAGAAGAAGCACCGGCUAACUCCGUGCCAGCAGCCGCGGUAAUAC